UUAUCACCUUGAGCGGCACGUGACUGGACGAUUUUGAUUCGGAAUCGGAAUCGGUGGAGUAGUGGUGUGAGGUGGGCUGCAGUGGUGUGCGGAGGUGUACGGUGGUUUUGGGGGUACGAAAGAAUUUCCAUCGAGCAACCUGAUCGCACGUUAUUGGAUCUAGAAGGCCUGAGGAGGGGGCUUCGUUGGAAGCCCAGCGGGUCUUCAUGUAAAUAGCAAAACGGCCCGUGCAUCGGAAACUGCAGUGCCACGCAAAAUAUUUCACUCAAAUAAAUAUAGCCGUUUAUUUUUGGAAAUUGAAACAAGCCGUACAAAAUGCGAGGAAACCAAAACACAAAAUAAAAAUAAAGAAACAGGCAAAUAAAUAAAUAAAUAAGGCUGAGGAAUACCAAAUACCGCAACGGAACCCACUCGAAUCACGUUUUCUGUCACGCAAUUUGAGUUCUUUCAAUGAAUCCGAUUUGGAAUUGGAAAUGGCGCAGUUGUGCGGUUCCACACCACAUACAAGACCCAUUCCCCAUUUCGAUCCCCACUCGGUGGUUCACUUAUCAAGUCAAGUGCUCCGGUGGUUGGAGGGAUCAGCAAGAUUGUGGUGUGGGUUAAGUCCAAAUUGGGCAAUCGAAUGGGGCAGCUUCUGUUUAGAUAGUGGUUAUGGUCGGGUUAUUGUGCAUAUAAUCUAUAAAUUGAUUUUGCUAAGCUCUAGCCCCCACAGUCUAGACAAUAUUAGCACAAUAAAUACAGAAUUAAAUGCCCAACUUUAA